GAUGAACGCUGGCGGCGUGCCUAAUACAUGCAAGUCGAGCGAACUGAUUAGAAGCUUGCUUCUAUGACGUUAGCGGCGGACGGGUGAGUAACACGUGGGCAACCUGCCUGUAAGACUGGGAUAACUUCGGGAAACCGAAGCUGAUACCGGAUAGGAUCUUCUCCUUCAUGGGAGAUGAUUGAAAGAUGGUUUCGGCUAUCACUUACAGAUGGGCCCGCGGUGCAUUAGCUAGUUGGUGAGGUAACGGCUCACCAAGGCAACGAUACAUAGCCGACCUGGGAGGGUGAUGGGCCCACCGGGGACUUAGACACGGCCCAGACUCGUACGAGGGGCAGCAGUAGGGAAUCUUCCGCAAUGGACGAAAGUCUGACGGAGCAACGCCGCGUGAGUGAUGAAGGCUUUCGGGUCGUAAAACUCUGUUGUUAGGGAAGAACAAGUACAAGAGUAACUGCUUGUACCUUGACGGUACCUAACCAGAAAGCCACGGCUAACUACGUGCCAGCCGCCGCCGUAA
rnacentral:rRNA from 1 species